rnacentral:rRNA from 1 species
AGCGAACGCUGGCGGCAGGCUUAACACAUGCAAGUCGAGCGGGCGUAGCAAUACGUCAGCGGCAGACGGGUGAGUAACGCGUGGGAACGUACCUUUUGGUUCGGAACAACACAGGGAAACUUGUGCUAAUACCGGAUAAGCCCUUACGGGGAAAGAUUUAUCGCCGAAAGAUCGGCCCGCGUCUGAUUAGCUAGUUGGUGAGGUAACGGCUCACCAAGGCGGCGAUCAGUAGCUGG